rnacentral:rRNA from 1 species
GAUGAACGCUGGCGGCGUGCUUAACACAUGCAAGUCGAACGGAAAGGCUCCUGCUUGCAGGGGUACUCGAGUGGCGAACGGGUGAGUAACACGUGGGUGAUCUGCCCUGCACUUCGGGAUAAGCCUGGGAAACUGGGUCUAAUACCGGAUAGGACGAUGGUUUGGAUGCCAUUGUGGAAAGUUUUUCGGUGUGGGAUGAGCUCGCGGCCUAUCAGCUUGUUGGUGGGGUAAUGGCCUACCAAGGCGUCGACGGGUAGCCGGCCUGAGAGGGUGUACGGCCACAUUGGGACUGAGAUACGGCCCAGACUCCUACGGGAGGCAGCAGUGGGCAAUAUUGCACAAUGGGCGCAAGCCUGAUGCAGCGACGCCGCGUGGGGGAUGACGGCCUUCGGGUUGUAAACUCCUUUCGCUAGGGACGAAGCGCAAGUGACGGUACCUGGAGAAGAAGCACCGGCUAACUACGUG